rnacentral:rRNA from 1 species
CGUGGGGGGAAUUUGCGCAUGGGCGAAAGCCUGAUCCAGCCAUGCCGCGUGUGUGAUGAAGGUCUUCGGGUUGUAAACCUCUUUUCUUGGGGAAGAAGGGGAGUUGUCUCCUACGAGAUUGUCUUGACCUUUCCCAUGCAAUACCCCCCGGUUUCCUCUGUGCCAGCAGCCGCGGUAAUC